AUCAUUGUGUUUGACGGCAUCGCUAUGAAUGCUUGGCCGCCACAAGCCAGUUACCCCUGUGGUAACUUUUCUGACACCUCCUGCUUAAAACCCAAAAAGUCAGAAGGAUCGUGAGGCUCUGCUUUCACGAUCUGAAGAGC